rnacentral:rRNA from 1 species
GUGGGGAAUAUUGCACAAUGGGGGAAACCCUGAUGCAGCGACGCCGCGUGAGUGAAGAAGUAUUUCGGUAUGUAAAGCUCUAUCAGCAGGGAAGAAAUAGCGACCUUAGGGUCGCCAGACGGUACCUGACUAAGAAGCCCCGGCUAACUACGUGCCAGCAGCCGCGGUAAUACGUAGGGGGCAAGCGUUAUCCGGAUUUACUGGGUGUAAAGGGAGCGUAGACGGCAGCGCAAGUCUGAAGUGAAAUGCCAGGGCUUAACCCUGGAACUGCUUUGGAAACUGUGCAGCUAGAGUGCAGGAGAGGUAAGUGGAAUUCCUAGUGUAGCGGUGAAAUGCGUAGAUAUUAGGAGGAACACCAGUGGCGAAGGCGGCUUACUGGACUGUAACUGACGUUGAGGCUCGAAAGCGUGGGGAGCAAACAGGA